CAGAUGCAAAUCAAGAGCCAACCAUGCAAGCUGGCCCUUCUAAGGACAGCGGUCUCAGGCCCACUGUGUUAACUCUUUUCUAUAUGUGCGCGCGUGCACACACACACACACACACACACACAGUGACAAUUCCAUGAGAACAAGGGAUGCCCUUCACUCUCUAGCACCUCUAUACCUUUUCUAGCCUAGACAAUGCCUGAGGGAUUAUGAGUGUGGGCUGGGACAAUGACAUCACAGACCAUCAACCCACAGCCUGGCCCUGGGAGAAGACCUAUUCUUUCUUCAGAACAGCCAUGGGAAUCAGGCUUCUCUGUAGUGUGGCCUUUUGCUUCCUGGGAGUAGGCCUCGUGGAAGUGAAAAUAACCCAGAACCCGAGAUAUCUAGUCAAAAAGAUGGGAGAGAAAGUUUCUCUGGAAUGUGCCCAGGAUAUGGACCAUGAAAGAAUGUUCUGGUACCGACAAGACCCAGGUCUGGGGCUACGGCUGAUCUAUUUCUCAUAUGAUAUUAAAAACGAUGAAAAAGGAGAUGUUCCUGAUGGGUACAGUGUCUCUAGAGAGAAGAAGGAGCAGUUCAUCCUGAUUCUGGGGUCUGCCCGCACCAACCAGACAUCUGUGUAUCUCUGUGCCAGCAGCCCAUCCACAGCGCAGCACGGCCACACCUUCGGUUCAGGAACCAAGUUAACGGUUGUAGAUGACCUGAGCAAGGUGUUCCCACCCACGGUCGCUGUGUUUGAGCCAUCAGAAACAGAGAUCUCUCGCACCCAAAAGGCCACGCUGGUGUGCCUGGCCACAGGCUUCUACCCCGACCACGUGGAGCUGAGCUGGUGGGUGAACGGGAAGGAGGUGCACAGUGGGGUCAGCACGGACCCGCAGCCCCUCAAGGAGCAGCCCGCCCUCAAUGACUCCAAAUACUGCCUGAGCAGCCGCCUGAGGGUCUCGGCCACCUUCUGGCACAACCCCCGCAACCACUUCCGCUGCCAAGUCGAGUUCUACGGGCUCUCGGAGGAUGACGAGUGGACCCAGCCAAGGGCCAAACCCAUCACCCAGAAAGUCAGCGCUGAGGCCUGGGGCAGAGCAAACUGUGGCUUCACCUCAGUGUCCUACCAGCAAGGGGUCCUGUCUGCCACUGUCCUUUAUGAGAUCCUGCUGGGGAAGGCCACCCUGUAUGCUGUGCUGGUCAGUGCCCUCGUGCUGAUGGCCAUGGUCAAGAGAAAGGAUUUCUGAAGGCAGCUCUGGAAGUGGAGUUAGGAGCUUCCAACCCGUCGUGGUUUUAAUACACAUUCUUCUUUCGCCAGUGCUUCUGAAGAGCUGCUCUCGCCCCUCUGUGCAUCUCAAUAUCUGCCCCCUAUAUGCAUGUACACCUGCACACUCAGGGCUGAAAUCUCCCUAACCCAGGGGAACUCUAGCAUCCCUACAUGACUGAGCCAAUAAAAUGUUCUGGUCUGGCCUGACUUUGA